AUUGAACGUGCUUGCACGGACUUGACGUUGGUUUACCAGCGAGUGGCGGACGGGUGAGUAACACGUAGGUAACCUGCCCCAAAGCGGGGGAUAACAUUUGGAAACAGAUGCUAAUACCGCAUAACAAUUUGAAUCGCAUGAUUCAAAUUUAAAAGAUGGCUUCGGCUAUCACUUUGGGAUGGACCUGCGGCGCAUUAGCUUGUUGGUAGGGUAACGGCCUACCAAGGCUGUGAUGCGUAGCCGAGUUGAGAGACUGAUCGGCCACAAUGGAACUGAGACACGGUCCAUACUCCUACGGGAGGCAGCAGUAGGGAAUCUUCCACAAUGGGCGCAAGCCUGAUGGAGCAACACCGCGUGAGUGAAGAAGGGUUUCGGCUCGUAAAGCUCUGUUGUUAGAGAAGAACGUGCGUGAGAGCAACUGUUCACGCAGUGACGGUAUCUAACCAGAAAGUCACGGCUAACUACGUGCCAGCAGCCGCGGUAAUACGUAGGUGGCAAGCGUUAUCCGGAUUUAUUGGGCGUAAAGCGAGCGCAGGCGGUUUGAUAAGUCUGAUGUGAAAGCCUUUGGCUUAACCAAAGAAGUGCAUCGGAAACUGUCAGACUUGAGUGCAGAAGAGGACAGUGGAACUCCAUGGUAGCG
rnacentral:rRNA from 1 species